GAUGAACGCUGGCGGCGUGCUUAACACAUGCCAGUCGAACGGUGAAGGCGGAGCUUGCUCUGCUGGAUCAGUGGCGAACGGGUGAGUAACACGUGAGCAAUCUGCCCCUGACUCUGGGAUAAGCGCUGGAAACGGCGUCUAAUACUGGAUACGAGCUGCGAAGGCAUCUUCAGCAGCUGGAAAGAAUUUCGGUCAGGGAUGAGCUCGCGGCCUAUCAGCUUGUUGGUGAGGUAAUGGCUCACCAAGGCGUGGACGGGUAGCCGGCCUGAGAGGGUGACCGGCCACACUGGGACUGAGACAAGGCCCAGACUCGUACGGGAGGCAGCAGUGGGGAAUAUUGCACAAUGGGCGAAAGCCUGAUGCAGCAACGCCGCGUGAGGGACGACGGCCUUCGGGUUGUAAACCUCUUUUAGCAGGGAAGAAGCGAAAGUGACGGUACCUGCAGAAAAAGCGCCGGCUAACUACGUG
rnacentral:rRNA from 1 species